GCUGGGCGUGGUGGUGCAUGCCUGUAGUCCCGGUUACUGGGGAAGCCGAGGCAAGAGGAUUGUUUGAGCCCAUGAGUUCUGGGUUAUAGUGUGCUACGCCGUUCUGGUGUCUGCAUUAAGUUCGGCAUCAAUGUGGUGUCCUCCUGGGAGCAGGGGACCCCCUGUUUGUCUAAGGAAGGUGAACUGACCCAGGUUGGAAGGAGGGCAGGUCAAAACUGCUGUGCUGAUCAACAAUGGGAUUGCACCUGGGAGUAGCCACUGCACUCCAGUGUGGUUGACAUGGUGAAGCCCUGUCUCUA
rnacentral:SRP_RNA from 1 species